rnacentral:tRNA from 1 species
GCCCCGGUAGCCCAAUUGGCAGAGGCAGUCGGCUCAAACCCGGCUCGUUGUGAGUUCGAGUCUCACCCGGGGUA